ACGCCACGUGAUUUAUGGAGAUGCAUUGACAACGACAGGACUGACGAAGUCGGAUUAACAACAACAGUGGAUGUCCGUGAUCCUGAUUGGGGAUGGUGACUGGUUGGAAAGCAGCCUCGUUUGCGCAUCUUUCCACUUUUCUUCCUGUGAAAGGAGAGGCGAUGUCAUUUCGGUAGCCACGCAAACCUAAGGACUAAUAUCUGUGCGCGAUUGUCGGCGAUUCGACACGUGCAACUUCCUGCUUCCAGCGGAGGGAGAAAAAGAUAUACCUCCCAGGUUGAAAUUAGUGUGAUUCCAGCCGCGAUUAUCCGUAGACCGUAGGGAUAAGCUACCGGUGCUUUUUUCUCCGAUUGAGGGGAAAAUCCACUCGGCUAGGAGGGACCACCUAGUCUGGACCUGCGGAUGGAAUAUGGAAUUCAAUUCAAUUCAAGAAGGAUGGUUUUCAGCGGGAAAUGAAACGAAAUACGAAAGUGAACGAUGAGGUUAAAGAUAAUCUUUAAGUUGAAAAGAUAUUUGUCUCGUGUAUAUUUUCUUACUCGUCGAUUCUCGUGCAUCCCAAUGAUAAUUGAGGUUAGUUUUUUUUUUCUACUGGCAUCGAGUCAUAUCGCUUCUUGCAAAGUUUCAAUCACUGAAUAAUGAAGAGGAGGGGGGGAGAAGCGAAUCUCAACUUACUUUUUGCAAAAUGCGAAUUCAACGAAAAAAGAAUAUUCGAAAUCCGUCCAAAGUUAAGUUUAUCCAAAAUUUCGAUGCUUGAUACGUCGAUGACAGGAAAAGCUAAUUAUCCUUUCACAUACUUUGCGCGGUAUCUUAUAAGAAACUGUUAAAUAAAACAGUAAAAAAAAAAAGGAAUGGAUGUUAUGAAUAAAAUGUUAUGAAUGUGUUUUUACGUCGCAUGGUUGUAUAAUAAGAAAUAGUUAUCAAUAUUUUAUAAAUUUUUUAAAAACCUUUUAUUCAAUUCUCUUAAUGUUGAAUAAAAUUUUUUUCACAUCUAAUUUAAAAUUUGUUAUUAAGCAAACAAUAAAGUUUAAUAAAUCAAUAUAACGAAUUAAUAAAUAAAUUCAAAAUUUCUUUAACUAAAGUUGAUGAAUAAAAUUAUUGCUAUUAUUGAUAAUCAUAUUGAAAAUGAUAUUUGAACUGUUUUUGUAAAAGCUAUUACUAAUAAAAGGAAUAUUAUAAAUUCAUUUAUUCUAUAAAAAUUUAAAAAUUUCAUGAUUACAUAUUAUCAUUAAUAAAUUAAUAAUGUUGAAUCGACGAUUUUAAAUAAUACUACUCCACAUAAUUAUUAUUUUUAAUGAGGGGGGCGAUUAAAAAAGAUGGAAGAUCAAUUGAAUAUAGCUUAGAAAUUUAUAGUAUAAGUAUCACACUAAAAAAUAUAUUACUAAAAAGUAUCUUUAAAUAUUGCUAAUCAAUUUUUAAUAAAAUCAUUACAUCUAACUGUUAAAUGUUAUACGCUCUUUUGAAUCUUUUCAAUCAUUUUCAAUUUAAAUAAUUGAAAAAAACACGUGGGAAUUCAAGUUAUAUGCUUGUCAAAUUGUACAAUCAUCGAUGGGUUAAUAGAGCCUUCUCAGAUAAACUCGACAAGUUGCUUUCAUCCGGAUGAAAAAGAUAAAAAAAUCAGAGGAUGUAGGUGGAUUAAAACCUAUGCUUCCUUCAUCCUCUGCACUAAUUAUAGAAUGCUAUCAUUUCCACGGUCUAUCGAAGAUUGGAUCUUCAUAAUGAUUGACAAAUAACGAUUAAACACCUGUUCACACGAUCACCCUUUGCCUCUUCUUUUUUUAAGUUCGGUUUCCAUGCUUUUGCGUCGAUCCAGCUC